AACUCUCGAAGGCGGUGAUGCUGUAACGCUCAUCAUCUUCAUACCUCCCUGUUGGACUAUGGCCGAGCUUAGUGCUCGGCCUUUUUU
rnacentral:ncRNA from 1 species